rnacentral:rRNA from 1 species
UACAGAGGUCUCGAGCGUUGUUCGGAUUCAUUGGGCGUAAAGGGUGCGUAGGCGGCGGGGUAAGUCUGAUGUGAAAUUCCAGGGCUCAACCUCGGGACUGCAUUGGAUACUGCCUUGCUCGAGAACUGGAGAGGAGACUGGAAUUUACGGUGUAGCAGUGAAAUGCGUAGAGAUCGUAAGGAAGACCAGUGGCGAAGGCGAGUCUCUGGACAGAUUCUGACGCUGAGGCACGAAGGCCAGGGGAGCAAACGGG